AGCGAACGCUGGCGGCGUGCUUAACACAUGCAAGUCGAGUGCGCGGUUCGUAGCAAUACGAACUGGCGCACGGCGCACGGGUGAGGAACACGUGGGCAACAUGCCCUCCGAUGGGGAAUAACCCGCCGAAAGGCGGGCUAAUACCGCAUACGAUUCCGGGGACCUCGGUUCCUGGACUGAAAGCCCGCAAGGGCGUCGGUGGAGUGGCCCGCGGCCGAUUAGCUUGUUGGCGGGGAACGGCCCACCAAGGCAAUGAUCGGUAGCCGGUCUGAGAGGAUGAUCGGCCACACUGGAACUGAGACACGGUCCAGACUCCUACGGGAGCAGCAGUGGGGAAUCUUGCGCAAUGGGCGAAAGCCUGACGCAGCGACGCCGCGU
rnacentral:rRNA from 1 species